rnacentral:misc_RNA from 1 species
GAUGAAGAACGUAGCGAAAUGCGAUAAGUAGUGUGAAUUGCAGAAUUCAGUGAAUCAUCGAAUCUUUGAACGCACAUUGCGCCCCUUGGUAUUCCAUGGGGCAUGCCUGUUCGAGCGUCAUUUGUACCUUCAAGCUCUGCUUGGUGUUGGGUGUUUGUCUCGCCUCUGCGUGUAGACUCGCCUUAAAACAAUUGGCAGCCGGCGUAUUGAUUUCGGAGCGCAGUACAUCUCGCGCUUUGCACUCAUAACGACGACGUCCAAAAGUACAUUUUUACACUCUUGACCUCGGAUCAGGUAGGGAUACCCGCUGAACUUAAGCAUACCAAUAAGCGGAGGA